UACGUAGGUGGCGAGCGUUGUCCGGAUUUACUGGGCGUAAAGAGCGCGCAGGCGGUCGUUCAAGUCGCGUGUGAAAGCCCCCGGCUCAACUGGGGAGGGUCACGCGAUACUGAUCGACUCGAAGGCAGGAGAGGGUAGUGGAAUUCCCGGUGUAGUGGUGAAAUGCGUAGAUAUCGGGAGGAACACCAGUGGCGAAGGCGACUACCUGGCCUGUUCUUGACGCUGAGGUGCGAAAGCGUGGGGAGCAAACAGG
rnacentral:rRNA from 1 species